rnacentral:rRNA from 1 species
GGUGAUUCAUAGUAACCGAACGGAUCGCAUUAUAAUUAUCAUUAUUUGAUGAUUGGCGAUAGAUCAUUCAAGUUUCUGACCUAUCAGCUUUCGACGGUAGUGUAUUGGACUACCGUGGCAGUGACGGGUAACGGGGAAUUAGGGUUCGAUUCCGGAGAGGGAGCCUGAGAAACGGCUACCACAUCUAAGGAAGGCAGCAGGCGCGCAAAUUACCCAAUCCUGACUCAGGGAGGUAGUGACAAGAAAUAACAACACUGGAAAUUUGAUUUCUAGUGAUUGGAAUGAUGGGAAUCCAAACCCCUUUCAGAGUAACAAUUGGAGGGCAAGUCUGGUGCCAGCAGCCGCGGUAAUUCCAGCUCCAAUAGCGUAUAUUAAAGUUGUUGCAGUUAAAAAGCUCGUAGUUGGAUGUCUGUUGGAAGCAAUCAUCAGUCCGCCCUAUUUGAUUAGGGUGUGAAUAUGAUGAAUUCCGGCAUAAUUGUCUCCCUAUUGUUAAUAUUCUGAUUGUUAGAUUCAUUUCUAACAAUAAUACGAUUAUUAAUAAUAAGGGGAAAUGUUACUUUGAGAAAAUUAGAGUGUUUGAAGCAGGCUUUUGUUGCCUUGAAUACUGCAGCAUGGAAUAACAAUAUAGGAUUUCGGUUCUAUUUUGUUGGUUCUUUUUUUAGGACUGAAAUAAUGAUUAAUAGGGACAGUUGGGGGCAUUCGUAUUUAACUGUCAGAGGUGAAAUUCUUAGAUUUGUUAAAGACGAACUACUGCGAAAGCAUUUGCCAAAGAUGUUUUCAUUAAUCAAGAACGAAAGUUAGGGGCUCGAAGACGAUCAGAUACCGUCGUAGUCUUAACCAUAAACUAUGCCGACUAGAGAUAGGAAAUUGUCAUUUUACUUGACUUCUCCUGCACCUUAUGAGAAAUC